rnacentral:rRNA from 1 species
UCCACGCCGUAAACGAUGGGUGCUAGGUGUUGGUCCGGUUCACGCCGGAUCAGUGCCGCAGCUAACGCAUUAAGCACCCCGCCUGGGGAGUACGGCCGGCAAGGUUGAAACUCAAAGGAAUUGGACGGGGGCCCGCACAAGCGGUGGAGCAUGUGGUUUAAUUCGAUGCAACGCGAAGAACCUUACCUGGGCUUGAACUGCUGGUGGUAGG